GGACUGGAAGGAGGGUAGAGGACUGGAAGGAGGGUAGAGGACUGGAAGGAGGACUGAAAGGAGGGUAGAGGACUGGAAGGAGGGUAGAGGACUGGAAGGAGGGUAGAGGACUGGAAGGAAGGUAGAGGACUGGAAGGAGGGUAGAGGACUGAAAGGAGGGUAGAGGACUGGAAGGAGGGUAGAGGACUGGAAGGAAGGUAGAGGACUGGAAGGAGGGUAGAGGACUGGAAGGAGGGUAGAGGACUGGAAGGAAGGACUGAAAGGAGGGUAGAGGACUGGAAGGAGGGUAGAGGACUGGAAGGAGGUUAGAGGACUGGAAGGAGGGUAGAGGACUGGAAGGAAGGUAGAGGACUGGAAGGAAGGUAGAGGACUGGAAGGAAGGUAGAGGACUGGAAGGAGGGUAGAGGACUGGAAGGAAGGUAGAGGACUGGAAGGAAGGUAGAGGACUGAAAGGAGGGUAGAGGACUGGAAGGAAGGUAGAGGACUGAAAGGAGGGUAGAGGACUGGAAGGAAGGUAGAGGACUGAAAGGAGGGUAGAGGACUGGAAGGAGGGUAGAGGACUGGAAGGAGGGUAGAGGACUGGAAGGAGGGUAGAGGACUGGAAGGAAGGUAGAGGACUGGAAGGAGGGUAGAGGACUGGAAGGAGGGUAGAGGACUGGAAGGAGGGUAGAGGACUGGAAGGAGGGUAGAGGACUGGAAGGAAGGUAGAGGACUGGAAGGAGGACUGAAAGGUCCUGAUAACAAUCCUGACAACUCAAUGAACUAUUCCUGAAAUAUUCACUUACUAGAAACAAUGUGAAUAUCAAACUCACAAAAACGAUCAUUCAUAAUUACACACACUUCUUUUAAUAUGUACAUAAAAUGUGCUAAUUUUGACGGCAGCCAUUUUCUUUUUUAAAGAACCAGAUAGAUAAAGUUGUCAAGGUCACACCGCUUAAAUACAGUGGCUUGCAUGGUUGUAUGGCCAGAGAGGACAUCACCCCUCCAGCUGUAAAUAAAAUGAAACACACAAAAAAAAAAUGAACUUAAAAAGAAGCUUUUUAAAAAGAAAAACAGUGAGAGAGAGAGCAAUGUAGCGGGAGGACUGGGCUUCCCAGUUGAUCUAGCUAAUGUUAGUUAACUAGCUAGCUAGUUAGCUACAUUGUUGACACUGCAGCUAGCUUAGCCAGCGUAACUCAUGGCAACAUAAUAUGAUAGCUAAUUAGCUAUUGCCACACACAACUGAUUAAUCUGUUCACUCUUUAAGCCAAUGACAAGGUGGCUAGCUAGCCAACGAGCAGAGAUCAUACGGGGAGCUAAACACAGGAGAUGAAAAAAUUCUGUCAGAUUCUGGGUUAGCCAAAGCAAGCUAGCUAGCUAGUUAGCUUCCUAGCCAUUUCAUUUGCACUCACCCUCAAAACACAAUUUCAACAGCAGAAUGAAAGUAUCUCAGUAAAAUACUUGUCUUACUCCAGAAAUAUACACAACAUGCCCAAAAGUAUAUGGACACCUGCUCGUCGAACAUCUCAUUCCUAAAUCAUUGGCAUUAAUAUGGAGUUGGGGACUGAUGUUGGGCGAUUAGGCCUGGAUCGUAGUCAGCGUUCCAAUUCGUCCCAAAGGUGUUCGAUGGGGUUGAGGUCAGGGCUCUGUGCAGGCCAGUCAAGUUCUUCCACAUGGAUCUCGACAAACCAUUUCUGUAUGGGCCUCUCUUUCUCUCUCUCUCUCUCUCUCUCUCUCUCUCUCUCUC
rnacentral:lncRNA from 1 species